rnacentral:rRNA from 1 species
UACAGAGGUCUCAAGCGUUGUUCGGAUUCAUUGGGCGUAAAGCGCGUGUAGGCGGCUAAGUAAGUCGGGCGUGAAAUCCCACGGCUCAACCGUGGAAGUGCACUCGAAACUGCAUAGCUAGAGUCCUGGAGAGGAAGGUGGAAUGCUUGGUGUAGAGGUGAAAUUCGUAGAUAUCAAGCGGAACACCGGUGGCGAAGGCGGCCUUCUGGACAGUGACUGACGCUGAGACGCGAAAGCGUGGGGAGCAAACAGG